rnacentral:tRNA from 1 species
GACCUUGUAGCUCAACGGAUAGAGCCCAGGUUUCCUAAACCUGUAAUGAAGGUUCGACUCCUUCCAGGGUCA